rnacentral:rRNA from 1 species
GUUUGAUCAUGGCCAGGACGAACGCUGGCGGCGUGCCUAAUACAUGCAAGUCGAGCGGAGUUGAUGAAGUGCUUGCACUUCUGAUACUUAGCGGCGGACGGGUGAGUAACACGUAGGUAACCUGCCCGUAAGACUGGGAUAACAUUCGGAAACGAAUGCUAAUACCGGAUACACAACUUGGUCGCAUGAUCGGAGUUGGGAAAGACGGAGCAAUCUGUCACUUACGGAUGGACCUGCGGCGCAUUAGCUAGUUGGUGAGGUAACGGCUCACCAAGGCGACGAUGCGUAGCCGACCUGAGAGGGUGAUCGGCCACACUGGGACUGAGACACGGCCCAGACUCCUACGGGAGGCAGCAGUAGGGAAUCUUCCGCAAUGGACGAAAGUCUGACGGAGCAACGCCGCGUGAGUGAUGAAGGUUUUCGGAUCGUAAAGCUCUGUUGCCAGGGAAGAACGCUAAGGAGAGUAACUGCUCCUUAGGUGACGGUACCUGAGAAGAAAGCCCCGGCGAACUACGUGCCAGCAGCGCGGUA